rnacentral:lncRNA from 1 species
UGUAUUAACACUCAAGAGAGCAUAACUGAUACGAUACAUAUUGUUAAGAAUCAUUCAAAAGAUAAAACAACAGAGAAAAAGGAAAAAAAUAAAAAAAUAAACGACAAGAGCAGUUCCUCUGAUGGUAAGCAACUCCACUUCCAACCGAGAGGUUGUGAGUUCGAGUCCCCCCAAGAGCAAGGUGGGAAGUUUUGGAGGGAAGGAUGCCGGGUUUCUAAUUUGGAAACAGC